rnacentral:miRNA from 1 species
CACUCGCACGAGGGGCUCUACC